rnacentral:rRNA from 1 species
AUUGAACGCUGGCGGCAUGCUUUACACAUGCAAGUCGAACGGUAACAGGCCUUCGGGUGCUGACGAGUGUCGAACGGGUGCGUAAUGCAUCGGAACGUGCCCAGAGGUUGGGGAUAACGCAGCGAAAGCUGUGCUAAUACCGCAUGUGAUCUGAGGAUGAAAGCGGGGGACCAAGCAGCAAUGUUUGGCCUCGCGCCUCUGGAGCGGCCGAUGUCAGAUUAGGUAGUUGGUGGGGUAAAGGCCUACCAAGCCGACGAUCUGUAGCUGGUCUGAGAGGACGACCAGCCACACUGGGACUGAGACACGGCCCAGACUCCUACGGGAGGCAGCAGUGGGGAAUUUUGGACAAUGGGCGCAAGCCUGAUCGAGCAAUGCCGCGUGAGGGAAGAAGGCCUUCGGGUUGUAAACCGCUUUUGUACGGAAAGAAAAGGGUCUGGCUAAUACCUGGGGCUGAUGACGGUACCGUAAGAAUAAGCACCGGCUAACUACGUG